AAACUGAAACCAGUGAACAUCACAGUGAGCAAAGGAGUCAUGAGAUUUUCAUGCAGGAAAUAGAAUUUAAAAACUCACAGAUACUCCAAAACAAACCUGAUCUGAAGCAGAAAAAGAAAUUGUUUAUGGAAUUGUUAUCAAUAAGACUUAACAGGAGAAUCUUGUCAUAUAAUAAUUCAUGCAGAAAGGCAAGGGAUGCUUGCCUAGAUCCUAACAGUGGCAAAAUGUGUUUUAUGAUUACUGCAAUAGAACCUUCC
rnacentral:lncRNA from 10 species